rnacentral:rRNA from 1 species
UACAGAGGGUGCGAGCGUUAAUCGGAAUUACUGGGCGUAAAGCGUGCGUAGACGGUUAUUUAAGUCGGGUGUGAAAGCCCCGGGCUCAACCUGGGAAUUGCGAUGGAGACUGCAAGGCUUGAAUCUGGCAGAGGGGGGUAGAAUUCCACGUGUAGCAGUGAAAUGCGUAGAGAUGUGGAGGAACACCGAUGGCGAAGGCAGCCCCCUGGGUCAAGAUUGACGCUCAUGCACGAAAGCGUGGGGAGUAAACAGG